CACGGCGGGUGCUAACGUCCGUCGUGAAGAGGGAAACAACCCAGACCGCCAGCUAAGGUCCCAAAGUCAUGGUUAAGUGGGAAACGAUGUGGGAAGGCCCAGACAGCCAGGAUGUUGGCUUAGAAGCAGCCAUCAUUUAAAGAAAGCGUAAUAGCUCACUGGUCGAGUCGGCCUGCGCGGAAGAUGUAACGGGGCUAAACCAU
rnacentral:rRNA from 1 species